rnacentral:rRNA from 1 species
AGAGUUUGAUCCUGGCUCAGGAUGAACGCUAGCUACAGGCUUAACACAUGCAAGUCGAGGGGAAACGACAUCGAAAGCUUGCUUUUGAUGGGCGUCGACAGGCGCACGGGUGAGUAACGCGUAUCCAACCUGCCCAUCACUUGGGGAUAACCUUGCGAAAGUAAGACUAAUACCCAAUGAUAUCUCUAGAAGGCAUCUGAAAGAGAUUAAAGAUUUAUCGGUGAUGGAUGGGGAUGCGUCUGAUUAGCUUGGUUGGCGGGGUAACGGCCCACCAAAGCAACGAUCAGUAGGGUUCUGAGAGGAAGUCCCCCANAUUGGAACUGAGACACGGUCCAAACUCCUACGGGAGCA